rnacentral:rRNA from 1 species
UCUACGGGAGGCAGCAGUGAGGAAUAUUGGUCAAUGGACGCAAGUCUGAACCAGCCAUGCCGCGUGCAGGAAGACGGCUCUAUGAGUUGUAAACUGCUUUUGUACGAGGGUAAACGCAGAUACGCGUAUCUGUCUGAAAGUAUCGUACGAAUAAGGAUCGGCUAACUCCGUGCCAGCAGCCGCGGUAAUACGGAGGAUUCAAGCGUUAUCCGGAUUUAUUGGGGUUAAAGGGUGCGUAGGCGGUCGGAUAAGUUAGAGGUUAAAUCCCGAGGCUCAAAUUCGGAAUUGCCUCUGAAACUGUUCGGCUAGAGAGUAGUUGCGGUAGGCGGAAUGUAUGGUGUAGCGGUGAAAUGCUUAGAGAUCAUACAGAACACCGAUUGCGAAGGCAGCUUACCAAGCUACGUCUGACGUUGAGGCACGAAAGCGUGGGGAGCAAACAGGAUUAGAUACCCCAGUAGUC